UCAAGAUGGCGCUGCCCAGAUCCGAAACUAUUCGCUUCCAAGCAGCAGUCCACAAACCAAUGGGUGACGUCACGGAUGUUACGUCCAUUUUAUAUACAGUCUAUGGUUACAACACAGCUUAUUUGUGUUUGUGCUUUUGUGUUUUCCCACCAAAGACAGGACUAUAGAUAAUUCCCUAGAGUGAUGACAGAGCUUCUUUUGAAUUUAGUAUUGUUUGAAGACGAAAUACCCAAUUUACAAUUUACUAAUUACUUUAUGUAUCCACUGCAGUGCCCUCUAACUUUGUAACUUUGCUCUAUUAAAUGUUAGUGUGACAUUGGUUGACUAUUUCAGUCUUAGUUCUCCUCGCUUUCAGCUAUCUGCAUGUUAGCAUUUUCCAUCGCUAUGUGAAAUAACAACAGCCUCCAAGCCAGCAACCUACAAACUCAAAAUGGCAAAGAUUUGGAUUGAUGCGCAGAUUCAUUACACUUCACACAAGCUUCUGUGAUAUCGGUUUAAUAACGUUCUGCAGGAGUUACAUACAACUGUUAAAUCAUCUGUGGUUUUAAUGAGUGCGCUGAGCUCCUCCAGGGCUAAAGUAUGGAUCGGGUUUCACCUCCAGGGCACAGAUGAUUAAGUUAUAUGUGUGUGCGUAUCACACAGUCGACAUGCAUCUUCUACUGUUUUAUGUGGCAUUAUAUUUUGUGGGGGGUUGAGUCAUUUUAAUGCUAGGGCUCACUUCCUUACAUCCAAACAAGCCAAGUGGAGAUUAAAUUAUAAUAUCAGGUAUUUUUUAAACAAUUAAAAUCUGCACUUUUUCUACAGGAAACACUUGGUAUUGAUUCUCUUAUAAUGGCCUUUCCUUUGGCGCCACCCUCAGGCCAAAUUGUUAUAUGCAGUAAUAAAAAGUAAAGUAAAGAAAGUGAGACUACAAUAGCUGUAGGACAGGGUAACACUCAUAAAAGGCACUGCUGACUUUACCUAACAGGUGGAAAAAUGGAAAAACUGCAUGCAUCGACACUGAGUGUGCAAAAAAAACUCCAACAAAGGAAACUACUCAGGUUGAACCACUUAAUACUGAAAUUUAACUUUGCAUGUUUUCAGAUACUUGCAAAGCUUAACCCUCCUGUUGUCCUCGAGUCAAAGAAGGAAGGAAGGGUAGAAGAAGGAAGGGAGGAAGGAAUGAGGCAGGAAGGAAGGAAAGGAGGGAGGGAGGAAAGGAAAGAAGGAAGGAAGGUAGGAGGGAGGGAGGAAAGUAGGAAAGAGGGAAGGAAGGGAGGAAGGAAUAAGGAAGGGAGGGAGGAAGGGAAGAAAAGAAAGAAGGGAGGAAGGAAGAAAGGAAAGAAGGAAGGAAGGGAAGAAAGGAAAGAAGGGAGGAAGGAAGGUCGGAGGAAAGAAAGAAGGAAGGAAGGUAGGGGGGAGGAAAGAA